AAUGAACGCUGGCGGCAUGCCUUACACAUGCAAGUCGAACGAGAACGGGCCUUCGGGUGCCGCCGGGUGGCGUACGGGGGAGUAAUACAUCCGAACGUGCCGGAUCGCUGGGGGUAAGGGGGCGCAAGCUUUGAUAAUACCGCAUACCAAAUACGGUAUCAAGCAUGGGUGCGCAAGGGUUUGCGCGGCUGGAGCGGACGAUGGCAGAUUAGGUAGUUGGUGGGACAAAAGUUUACUAAGCCGACGAUCGGAAGCACUUCUGAGAGGAUGAGCCGCCAAACGGGGACUGAGACACGGCCCAGACUCCGACGGGAGGAAGCAGUCGGGAAUCUUACGCGAGGGGGGAAAGCCUGAUCCAGCAAUGCCGCGGGAAGGAUGAAGGCCUUCGGGUGGUAAACUGCUGUUGUACGGAACGAAAAAACUUCUUUUUACCCAGGAGGGUCAUGACGGUACCGUAAGAAUAAGCACCGGCUAACUACGUG
rnacentral:rRNA from 1 species